CGGGCAGAGCAAAGAGGCUCGCUGUGGUGCUGGAGAAAUCGAGUUUGAGAUAUUAUGGUGAUGAGGGCAGAGGUCUGCGUGCUGUCUGUGUACUUUCAGAGCUUGCCGGAGCCGCACGGCUGACGUCUGCCUUCAUUCUGAAAAAGGAAUUUCCAAUCCUAAGGCUGGUUAGGGGGUGUCACUGAAAAGAAUGACCAGAACCCUCCGCUCUCCCUAUUUUGAUUUUUCAACAUCGGGCCCUUAUUCAUCCAUGAGAACAACAACCAAAGGGGAAAGGCAGUCCUCGUGAGCACUGUGUCUGUGCUGGACCGGGUGGUAAUCCUUUUAACGGCUUUGGUCACUGCAGGCUUGAAGGGGGGAGGUAGGGCCAUCUGCUGAUGACAACAUGCCCAGGCAACCCAAAGAGCAUUUAAAGAGACACAGCCCGUCUCCCAGGACACGCUUAAUUCGCUUGUCGCUUGUCAUUUAAAAGGUACACUUAAAGCUUGAAUUUUUGUAUCCCACUUAUUUGCACGGCUCAAACCCUAAGUGCAAUGCCUCAGACUGGAGUCAGUCCCAGGAACUAUUUGUUUCCACCUCUCACGCCUUCUGCCCAGAGCUUCUCUGGGGACGCGAAGGAAUGUGGACUGCAACUCUGCGGCAUUUACAUCACAGAUUGGAUUCCGUGGAAGUCAAACCAAGUGUUUUUAUUACAAACAAGUCAGCCCAAGGCCAAAUUGGGAAGGACCUUUUGGAUUUCCAAGCCUCCCACCCAAGCCCCAGCCUCCACGCAGGAGAGAGUCCCCAGGUCCCUGUAGGUGGCCCAGGGCCCCCUCUAGUUCCUCUCUCGUUUCAUGACAUUUCACCUUCCUUCUCAGGCCUCACGGGGCAUUCAAGAAAGUGAGGUCUUCCAGGGUGCAAGGAAGUGUCAAGAGAAGGCAGGCUCUCUGUCCAGGGACGCUGGGGACAGGCAGCCCCACCCCCAGGUGGCUUAGACCAGGAGGAAGAGGUGAGCCGAUGGAUGCCUGGCUUCCCCUCCUGGCCAGACCCUGGCUCAACACGGUGACAACUGCGUCACAUCUGGGGAUUUCCUACCCCAACUCCAUGAGUAGGAAGAUGUGGAGGAUGCAGUUGAUAUCAAAUGCAUCCUGUCAUCGCACAAAACCAAGCCUUCGGGCCCUGAACCAAGAGAAGACAUCCCUUCUCGGGGGACAACCGCCUGUGCUGAGCAAAACAGCGGGAAGAAAAGGCUCUCAGACACGGUCAGAAGGAAAAAAGCAAGAGCUGGAGAGCCACACCACGUAGAAGAUGAACAGCAACUGCCUCCCUUCUCGUUUUAAUGUAAGAUAUCUUGUAAAUACAAGAUUUUGUAGGCUCAGCUUGAAAAAUAUGUAUAAAGCAAAUACCCUUGGAACCAUCAUCAAAGUCAGACACACAUCAGGGCCAGGGUCUCAGAGGCCCAUCCCUCGUGAGGCCCUCCUGGUCACAGUUUCACGGGAGCAG
rnacentral:lncRNA from 1 species